CUUUCAACAACGGAUCUCUUGGUUCUGGCAUCGAUGAAGAACGCAGCGAAAUGCGAUAAGUAAUGUGAAUUGCAGAUUCAGUGAAUCAUCGAAUUUUUGAACGCAUAUUGCGCCCCUCGGUAUUCCGGGGGGCAUGCCUGUUCGAGCGUCA
rnacentral:rRNA from 1 species